GACAUCACCAAGCUCAGCCUACGCCUCUGCACAGGGAACCUCUACCUUCUCUCGAGAGCAUUUGUGCCCCCGGAUCUCAAGGUGCUGGGAGAGAUAUGCCUUCGAGGAUAUUUGGACGCAUUCAGGUUCUUGGAAGAGAAGGGCAUCUGCAACAGGCCCCAGCCGGGCCUGAAGUCAUCCUCAGAAGGGAUGGAUCCUGAGGUUGCCGCGCCCAGCUGGGCAAACAUGAGUCUGGAUUCUUCCCCAGAGUCGGCUGCCUUGGCUGUGAGGCUGGAGGGAGACGAGCUGCUAGACCACCUGCGUCUCAGCAUCCUGCCCUGGGAUGAGAGCAUCCUGGACACCGUCUCGCCCAGGCUCGCUACAGCUGUGAUAUUGGAAAUGGACAUGUCUUUUCAAGGAAAAUAAAAGCAGGCUUUCUGGAA
rnacentral:sRNA from 1 species